rnacentral:tRNA from 1 species
GCGUGAGUGGCGGAACUGGCAGACGCACUAGAUUCAGGUUCUAGCGGUCGCAAGGCUGUGCGGGUUCAAAUCCCGCCUCGCGCA